CGUCUAUAUACGUAUAGCAUAUCAAUAAGCGGAGGAAAAGAAACUAACAAGGAUUCCCUUAGUAACGGCGAGUGUAAGCGGGAAGAGCUCAAAUUUGAAAUCUUCAAGGUUCUACCUUGACGAAUUGUAGUUUAAAGAAGUGUUUUCUGUUAGAGGAGUAGGCAAAAGUUCCUUUGAAAUAGGGACAUCAUAGAGGGUGAGAAUCCCGUAUUUGGUUAUUCUUUCUAGCUGUGUGAUACACUUUCAAAGAGUCGGAUUGUUUGGGAAUGCAGUCCAAAAUGGGUGGUAAAUUUCAUCUAAAGCUAAAUAUUGGCGAGAGACCGAUAGCGAACAAGUACCGUGAGGGAAAGAUGAAAAGAACUUUGAAAAGAGAGUUAAACAGUACGUGAAAUUGUCAAAAGGGAAGCGUUUGACACCAGUGUUGUUUUUCCGAAAAUCAAUUAAGAGUGGCUUGAUUUUGUGUUGUAUUGACCUUAUCAGCUUUCUUCACUCUUUUUCGAGUCUUUCUUAAUGCACUUUUCGGUUAACAAGUCAACAUCAAUUUCUUUUGUUGUAAAAGGGUAUUUGGAAGGUGGCUUUCUUUUCGGAGAAAGUGUUUAUAGCCUUAUACCUCUACAAUCGGAGAGAUUGAGGUCUGCAGCGUAGAUCCUUCGGGGCUAGAUACACUUGUGCUAAGUUAUAGCUUUUCAUAGACAACUUGUUGACUAUGUUUAGUCAUGUAGCUUACCCGCUUGUGCUAUUUUACCUACGCUUAGGAUGUUGAGUCAUCACACAUCUCU
rnacentral:rRNA from 1 species